GAUGAACGCUAGCUACAGGCUUAACACAUGCAAGUCGAGGGGCAGCAUGAACAUAGCUUGCUAUGUUUGAUGGCGACCGGCGCACGGGUGCGUAACACGUACACAAUCUACCCAUCGCUCGGGGACACCCUUUCGAACGAAAGAUUAAUACACGAUGGUCUCGGUUUACGGCACCUGAGACCGAGUAAAGAUUUAUCGGCUACGGCUCAGGUUGCGUAUGAUUAGGUAGAUGGCGGGGUAACGGCCCACCAUGCCUACGAUCAGUACGGGUUCUGAGAGGAAGCGCCAGCACAUUGGAACUGAGACACGGUCCAAACACCUACGGGAGGCAGCAGUGAGGAAUAUUGGUCAAUGGACGAGAGUCUGAACCAGCCAAGUAGCGUGAAGGAUGACUGCCCUAUGGGUUGCAAACUUCUUUUGUUUGGGAAUAAAGUUCGGGACGUGUCCCGUUUUGUAUGUACCAUUCGAAUAAGCAUCGGCUAAUUCCGUGCCAGCCGCCGCUGUAACAC
rnacentral:rRNA from 1 species